AUGUGGAUCAUUCUUGAAGAGGCGACAACGAUCCUCUCCAAGGGAAAACAACAGAGAGCCGGCGCUGUUCGCAGCGACCGCGCUGGGGAAUUCAUCUCAGGGGCGGAGCGCGCGGAGCUUGACACUCCAACCGCUUACGCUGGUUCCUCCCACUCACGUGGACAGUUGCAUGGACCACCAUGCAAGUGGCCACUUGGGCGGCUGGGUUGCGGGGGUGAUGAAUGUAACCUUCCAGUCGUUCCGAUACAACGCUCAACGAUGGAUAUCUCGGCUUGGUGAUCGAUGAAGGACGCAGCGAAGUGCGACAAGUGUCAUGACUUGCAGAUUCCCGAGAGCUGACAAAUUUCUGAAUGCAAAUGGCGGCCGCUAGCAACGGCCAUGUAUCGCAGAGUGUAGUUGUUCCUACUCAUCAUCCCUCAACAAUCGCUUGAUUGUUGCCUUGGGGACCUGCGCUUGCGACUCUUGCGCGAGCGUGAAAACGAGGAGCGUCGAGUCGGCAACUGCUCGGCUCGACGACUUCGGAAGCAACCUUCCAGGAGUUAUGCUCCCUCUCCACUUUCGACAGCCACCUCUGCGAUGCAGGAGAACCCGCUGAACUUAAGCAUAUCAUUUAGCGGAGGACAAGAAAACAACCGUGAUUCCCUGAGUAACGGCGAGUGAACAGGGAAAAGCCUAUGCUUGAAUCCGCAGCGGAAGGAAUCGGAAGCUGUGGAAUUGUAGUGCAAGGGCCAAUGGGAUGUACCACAGUCAGGCGAAGCGCUCUGGAAAGGGCCACCAAGGAGGGCGAACGUCCCGUCACGCCUGUUCGCGUGGUACAACUACCCCAGAGGACUCCAUGAGUCGCGCAGUUUGAUAGUGCUGUGCAAAUCCGGUGGUGUACUUCACCGAAGGCUAAAUAUUGCACCAAGACCGAUAGCGAACAAGUAGUGUGAACGAAAGAUGAAAAGCACUUUGGAAAGAGAGUGAAAAAGCCCUUGAAAUCGUUGAGCGCCAAGGGUAUGAGACCCAUUGGCCGCUGUGCGUAAGCGCAGCAUGUCAGCGCAGGUUCGCGUUUUCUGCGGGAGUCGAUUGUCCGUGCCUCUUUGGGGUACGGGAGCCGAUUCCAUAGCAGUAAAGCGCGGACUUGAGGAGGGGCUAGCUCAAAGGCGGAUGCUACACCGUGGAAUGGUCGUGCAAUGCUUUCUCUUGGAGGUGUUCAUGCCGGACUAUAGAUGUAGCAUACGCCAAGAUACGAAGCCUCGUGCUGACUCCGGCAUCUGCCGGGAAGAUGGUCUUCUACCACCCGUCUUGAAACACGGACCAAGGAGUCUACCUAAUGGGCGAACCUUCGAGUGACAAACUCUGCGAGGUGUAAUGAAAGUGACAACCCGUGAAGCCGAGGGGCCUACUCUCAGUAUGCAACGGGGCACGGUCCCGAUUUUACGUAAAAGGGAUCUGAAGUAAAGUCCAUUAGCUGGGACCCGAAAGAUUGCGAGCUUUUCCUGGGCCGAUGGAAGUCAGGGGAAACCUUGAUGGACGAUCGAACGCAGUGCUGACGUGCAAAUCGCUUGUCAGAUCUGGGUAAAGGGGCGAAAGACUCAUCGAGCAAUCUAGUAGCUGGUUCCCUC
rnacentral:misc_RNA from 1 species